GCGCUCCGCUAUCUGCCGCGGCGCCCUAGCUUCCUCCCGUGGCUUCUCGCGCCAUGGCCGACGCCCGACGACGACACCGCCGCCGCCGGCGGCGCGUGCCGCUGCGUCUUCUCCAGGACGACCUACCACGCCCCCGGCCUCGGCAUCCGGGACAAGAGGGUGGCCCACUACGACGGCGGGGCCUCCUGGUUCGUCGGCGGCCUCUUCGUCAACCCUCUCACCGGCCGCGCCGCCGCCUGCGCCGUAUGGAAAAGACUCGGCGACGCCGACAGUGACGAACGCACCUGCGCCGUCGCCUACCACGACGGCGCCGCCGUGUGCGUGGACUUGGCGAGAUGCUACGUCCACGAGAUCGGAGGUCCAGCAGCUGGGGAUCAAACCACGUUUCUGCCGCUGCCUGAUGAGCCCGGCAAGGUGCGCCGGCGCAGCUACCUCUUGGAGCUUCGCGGCGAGCUGCUGCUGGCCAGCGUUCUACAAGACGCCGGCUGCACCGACGACGACGACGACGACGACGACCGCCUCUCGGUGUCCGUGCACGCGUUCGAUCUGGUGGCUGCCCUUAACGCUCUCGAUCAGCUAGAUGCAGCUGUGGACGGCGCCGGCGGCGGCGACCCGCCGUCGCCGUCAGUGUGGGAGAAGAUGGACGGCGCAACCGGUGACCACGUCCUCUUCUUGGGCUACCCGAGCAGCUUCGCCGUGGAGGCCGCGAGGUACGGCGGGGAGGUGCCCGGCGGAAGCGCCUACUUCGUCGGAAGGUCGAAGCCGUGCCGCGUGUACAGGUGCAGCUUCGAGGACGACGGCACGGCGGCGACGCUGGUGGACACGCUGCCCGCCGGAUGGAACGACGAGAGGUGCAUGUGGUUCUUGCCCGAGCCGGACAUUGCUCCGGUGAUCGGAGCACGGACCUAG
rnacentral:lncRNA from 1 species